UCUCUGCUGUGUAUUUCUUUCCUGCUGACUGCUUCCUAAUUUGUGUCUCCAGCCUCAGGAUGAUGAACAUGCUCACGGUUCUUCUUCUUGUCCUCUCUCUGAGAUGUUGCACAAGUCAGAGUAUGGAGUCCAUUCCUUCCAGUUCAGUGGUGAAAAGUCCUGGAGAGACUCUCAGUUUGUCCUGCAGAGCAUCUGGCAUCACAAUUAGCAACUACGCUAUGCACUGGAUCAGACAGCCUGCAGGAAAAGGACUGGAAUGGAUAGGAAGAGGGUUCAAUGACCCCAACAGUAACACAUAUGCCAGCAGUGUGGGGGGAAGAAUUGAAAUCAGAAAGGACAGCAGCAACAACAUGGUGCAUCUGAAACUGUCCAACCUGAAACCAGAGGACUCUGCUGUGUAUUACUGUGCCAGGGAAGCACAGUGUUUCAUGUGAGCACAAUGGCUGCACAAAAACUACAUGAACUAUAUUGUUUGUGAGGGCCUGAAGAGGGCAGUAGAAGACUGAUGACACCAACAGACAGAGACAUGCUAGACUUAAGAAGUAUGAACUUGUUUUGAUAAUUUAUAGUAAAUUAUUUCCAAAAGCUUUAUACAAGUACAUAUAAUAUUACUUUUAAGUAUUAACAUAUUUCAUAUCAAAA